rnacentral:lncRNA from 1 species
GUCCUGAUCUUUCCUUACUGUAAUUUUAUCUCUACAUUUGCUUUGAAUAUGAGGAACUUUAAAUUGUUCUAGCCUUGCAUUUGAUAUAUCUCCUGUUUAGACGUAACGAUUCGAAUCUGUGAAUUCUGCCAAACAGAGAUUCUGCCAAACAGAGAUUUUGUUCAGCGACCCUUGUUUACCAAUUUAUUUGUAACUCUCUCUGUUGGAUAGUUCAAUUCAUAUGAAGCUUGUUUUAUCUGGAAGUAGAUUGAAAUAUCUUUCCAAUGAUAUAUUUCUGAGUAAAUUGGAGCACGAUUGAUAGUUUGAAUCAUUUGUUCAAUGUGCCUCUUGAAUUCUGCCAGAAAUUGAGCUUUGGUCGAUUUCACAUAUUCUGGUUUCAUUCCUUUGGAAAUUAAUAUCCUUUAGCCUUCUUAUUCAAUUGAGCUUUAUAUUACUGCUUUGAAUUCUUGUAUCUCUUGUCCUUAAAAUCAUUUGUAUUCUUGAAAACUAUUUUGUAACGUUUAUGCUAUAUCGUAUUAACUCAUAUAGGCACAUGUAUAUCCCAUUGUUCUGUAUUUGCUUUCGAUAUGUUCCUAUUCCAGUUUCAUUCCUUUGGACAUUGAAUUCAUCUAACCUUCUUAUUUGAAUUGAGUUAUAUGUGAUUGCUUGGAAUCCUUGAAUGCUCUUGCUUUCAUUUCCUUUUAAAUUUGAAUACAAUUGUGAAAGAUUAUUGCUUACUUCGUAUUGACUCGUAAAUGCACAUGUACGUUUUAUUGUUCCGCGUGUGCUUCCGAUAUGUGCUAUUCAUUGUUCAUACUAUCCUUUUGUACUCUGGUGUUUGUGGGAUAUUGUGAACAUUUGCCAGAAAUGGUGAAGGGAGUUAUGCAUAGAGCUUGUGAUGCUCUGCCGGCCCUUAUGACUUCACUCAGACGUGGGUGGAUGGAGCUCCCAGACGUGGGAGACUUAUGUUUGGUGGUCAUUCAGAAAUGGAUGUACCAUAUUAUGUUAUGGUCCCACUUCACAUUCUAUAUGUUUGAUAUGGUAUUCAAAGCUUUGGUUAUGUGUUUCUAUACAUGCUUUGGAUAAUAAUGAAAUGAAUGCAAUGUCGAUUCGACGUUUGAGCUUAUGUUUCAUAUUUGUUCUUUGAAAUGCUCUGAAAUGCUCCAUACACCUUUCAUAUGUUACGAAAUGUUUCAUUUAUCAUUGAUAUGCUCCGAAACAUUUCAUACGCUUUUGAUAUGCUCCGAAAUGUUUCAUUUGCUAUUGUUAUGCAUCGAAAUGUUCUAAAUGUAGUUGAUAUGCUCCGGAACAUUUCAUACGCUAUUGAUAUGCUCCAAUUACUCUAUGCUCCAUCUGUUAUGAACCAAAUAGGUUUUGAAUGACAUGACACAUAUGAUUUUGUAUCUAAUGAGAUGGUAUCCUUGAGAAUUCUUGUAUUCUGCCUUGCAUUAUGAUAUCUUACUUGUUUGAAACCAUUCCUUUUGUUUCGAAUAUGCUUUGUCACUUGCUGAGCUGUUUUUAGCUCACUCCGUUGUUAUAAAAAAUCUUUUAGGUCAGCUUGUCACUCUUUGAGAUGUUUGAAUUGGGCUGAGGCAGUGGAGAGCUAUUCAGAAUUAUGGGCAAGUCUUAUUGGUUAUUAUGUUAUUGUUGUAUAAGCAUAUUUUGUAUGUAAUGAAAUAUUAUCGAUAAAUCGAAAUGGAUAUACUGUGUAAAAGUGUUAGAAGAUCUCUCUUAUUUGGAAUUUUAAAAUUUUAAGUCUAGUUUAUGAUGAUAUGAACUUAUGGUGAAUAGUUGGAGUUCUGAUUGUAUAAUUUAUUUAGCUUGUGGAUUUAUAAAUGUUGUUUAUGUUUGUCAAGUUGGCUUGGGUUGCCAUAAAUGUGAAUUAUCGAGUGAUAUGAUAUAUGAUUAUAAACUGCAUAUGUUUUAUUGAUGUGAAUUUGAUAGAAUGUUUUUCAGUGUCCUCAAAUGUUAGUUUUGAUCCUGGAUUGGUUUGUGAUGAAAAUUUUAAAAUCAUCGAUAUUAUUUGAGGGGCAUGACAAAGGUGGUAUUAGAGCAUGGUUUGAGGAUCAAAGAGAAUAAUAUUACGAUCACUCUUGGAUAAUUGUGUAAUUGUAUUGUAUUGAUGAAACUAUUUGAGAGCAGGAGAAGGAAAUAAAGAAAUCAUAAUCCUCAUCUUUUCAUCGAUUGAGCUAUGACCAAUUUAGAUGACUAAAUUUUCUUUUAAGGGGGGGAGAGUGUAAUAUCCCUCACUUUUGAAAAUUUAUUAAUAAGGAUUUAUAUGUAAAUUGGAGGACCUAUAUGUAAAUAUAGAAAUUUCAAGGACUAAAUUGUUAAGUUACAAAAAGAAAAAAAAUAAAGAAAACCAAAAAUUUAAGUUUUACCCGACCGCCUCCCACGCUCUCUGUUCCCGAAAGAAGAGAAGAGCUGUGGGGCAUGGGGAGAAGAAGAAGAGAAGUAGAGAGAGAAGAGAAGAAAAGAAGAAGAGGGAAAAAAAAGAGAAAGAAGAGGGAGAAGAGAAGAAAAGAAGAAGAAGAAGAAGAGAGGGAAGAGGGAGAGGAGCGAGAGGUGGCAGCAGCUAGGGCUGCAGAACCUCUGUUUCUUGCAGGUGGAAAUAGAGGAGAGGCGUGGGGCGUUCGAAGAGGAGAAGAAGAAGAAGAGGAAGAGAAGAAAAAGAGGUUUUGAUACCUCUGUUUCCUGCAGAGGAAACAGAGGAGAGGGUGUGUGUGACGCCCGGGAGGAGGAGGGAAGAAGAAGAGGAGAAGAAGAGAAGGGAAAGGAGGAGCUGCGGCUACAGCAGUGGCAGCUGCAGUUGGAAGAGAAGGAGAGGAAGAGAAGGUGAGGAAGAAGAGAAGGAAGAAGGGAAGGAGAAGGAAGAAGAGAAGGGAAAGAAGGGGCUGCGGUUGCGGCUGUGGUAGGGAAAGAGGAAGAGGAAGGAAGAAGGGAAGGAGAGGAAGAAGAGAAGGGGAAGAAGGGGCUGCGGCUGCGGCGAUGGCAGCUGCAGCUGGAAGAGAAGAAGGAGAGGAAGAUAAGCAGGGGAGGAAGAAGAGGCUGCGGUUGUGGUGGCCGCGGCCAUGGCUGCGACUGCGAUUGCGGCAGUUGUAGCUGGGAAAGAAAAGAAAGGAAAGGGGGAAAAAGGGGCUACAGAUGGGGUUACGGCCGCGACAGUAGCGACUACAUAUGCAGUAGCUAUGUCUUUGAAAGAAGGGGAGGAAGAAGGUAGUGCGGUGGAAGGGGCUGCGACUAUGGCAGCGGCAGCGUCGGUGGCUGUGGCAGCUGCGUUUGGGAAAGAAACCGAAGGAAUGAGAGUAAGAGAGAGUAGGUGACUAUGCCUCUAUGUUCUGCAUGACUACAGUUGUAGAGGAAAAAGAGAAGACAUAUAUAGAAAAUGAAAUAGGGAGAGGACAUGGAGGAAAAGUAGAAGGAUUUGGGCUGACACCUUCUUUGGAUCUUUGAAUCAAAAUCUUUGAAAGGCAAGUGUUCUGAUCCUUUCUAUUGCAAAUGUCCUAGUCUUUCCUUACUGUAAUUUUAUCUCUACGUUUGCUUUGAAUAUGAGGAACUUUAAAUUAUUCUAGCCUUGCAUUUGAUAUAUCUCCUGUAUAGACGUAAUGAUUCGAAUCUGUGCAACUUUUGAGAUUCUGACCUUUUGAUACCGAGCUACCUAUAAGUCUUUGUUGGAAACUCUGAUUUGUUCAAAACUGGUUUCAUUGGAAACUAGACUCGUAGAUCUUUCUUUUUUUUUGGUAAGUAAAAGUAAAUUGAUUAUGUGUAAAGUUUCUACAAAUAGCUUUAUCUAUACAAGUCAUAUACAAAGCCA